rnacentral:lncRNA from 1 species
CUCAUGUGGGACUAUAUCACUUUUAAAUGAACGAAAAGUAAGGAAAAAAAUAUUUGGACUUAUAUUAAUGACCUAUUUAAUUGGAGGCAAUAAAAGAGAGCGGAGACCAGCGAAAAAAGAAAAGGUAUGUGACCUUUUGUGGUGUGGAUGAAAGCCAGGUGAGGCAUACGGAAACUGGAGGCACGAAAAAAACCAGAAACGGCGGCAAU